rnacentral:rRNA from 1 species
GAUGAACGCUGGCGGCGUGCCUAAUACAUGCAAGUCGAGCGAACAGACGAGGAGCUUGCUCCUCUGACGUUAGCGGCGGACGGGUGAGUAACACGUGGAUAACCUACCUAUAAGACUGGGAUAACUUCGGGAAACCGGAGCUAAUACCGGAUAAUAUAUUGAACCGCAUGGUUCAAUAGUGAAAGACGGUUUUGCUGUCACUUAUAGAUGGAUCCGCGCUGCAUUAGCUAGUUGGUAAGGUAACGGCUUACCAAGGCAACGAUGCGUAGCCGACCUGAGAGGGUGAUCGGCCACACUGGAACUGAGACACGGUCCAGACUCCUACGGGAGGCAGCAGUAGGGAAUCUUCCGCAAUGGGCGAAAGCCUGACGGAGCAACGCCGCGUGAGUGAUGAAGGUCUUCGGAUCGUAAAACUCUGUUAUUAGGGAAGAACAGAUGUGUAAGUAACUAUGCACGUCUUGACGGUACCUAAUCAGAAAGCCACGGCUAACUACGUG